AGCUUUGCGCAAUGGCAGUAUCACAGCCAAUGAGGUUUAUCCGAGGCAAGAUUAUUGCUAAUUGAAAACUUUUCCCUUGGGGGCCAGGCGCGGUGGCUCACGCCUGUAAUCCCAGCACUUUGGGAGGCCGA
rnacentral:snRNA from 1 species